rnacentral:rRNA from 1 species
UCCUGACUGACCGAUAGUGAACCAGUACCGUGAGGGAAAGGCGAAAAGAACCCCGGCGAGGGGAGUGAAAAAGAACCUGAAACCGUGUACGUACAAGCAGUGGGAGCCUCUUUUAUGGGGUGACUGCGUACCUUUUGUAUAAUGGGUCAGCGACUUAUAUUCUGUAGCAAGGUUAACCGAAUAGGGGAGCCGAAGGGAAACCGAGUCUUAACUGGGCGUUAAGUUGCAGGGUAUAGACCCGAAACCCGGUGAUCUAGCCAUGGGCAGGUUGAAGGUUGGGUAACACUAACUGGAGGACCGAACCGACUAAUGUUGAAAAAUUAGCGGAUGACUUGUGGCUGGGGGUGAAAGGCCAAUCAAACCGGGAGAUAGCUGGUUCUCCCCGAAAGCUAUUUAGGUAGCGCCUCGUGAAUUCAUCUCCGGGGGUAGAGCACUGUUUCGGCAAGGGGGUCAUCCCGACUUACCAACCCGAUGCAAACUGCGAAUACCGGAGAAUGUUAUCACGGGAGACACACGGCGGGUGCUAACGUCCGUCGUGAAGAGGGAAACAACCCAGACCGCCAGCUAAGGUCCCAAAGUCAUGGUUAAGUGGGAAACGAUGUGGGAAGGCCCAGACAGCCAGGAUGUUGGCUUAGAAGCAGCCAUCAUUUAAAGAAAGCGUAAUAGCUCACUGGUCGAGUCGGCCUGCGCGGAAGAUGUAACGGGGCUAAACCAUGCACCGAAGCUGCGGCAGCGACGCUUAUGCGUUGUUGGGUAGGGGAGCGUUCUGUAAGCCUGUGAAGGUGUGCUGUGAGGCAUGCUGGAGGUAUCAGAAGUGCGAAUGCUGACAUAAGUAACGAUAAAGCGGGUGAAAAGCCCGCUCGCCG